rnacentral:lncRNA from 1 species
GAGGAAUGCCCCCCGGUGGGGGAAGAGGGAAUGAAUGCUCCUCUGUUCACGCUUGACCCCUUUUAUAGGCUACCCACCUCCAUCUCUCCUCCUCCCUAUUUUCCUUCGAGAUAAGGAUAGAUUAAAGUGGGAUAAGGCUGCGAGAUCUCUGCGUUGUAGAUGCUGGCUUUUGGUCCCGAUCACUUGAACAACCUGUGAGGAUAAGCUUUGAUUUCGUUUUCUUGUAACAGAGGAUCCGGCAAAGAUGAAUUGGCUGGGAGCUUAUCCACCGAGAAGAAUGCGGGGAUUUGUUCUUUGGAUGGCUGGUUGCAGACAAGAGGAUGAUGCUGAUUUGUAACCGGGAUAAGAUUUGUUCCGUUGGGAACAGAGGAGCUGGUAGCAGGGGAUAGCGGGGAUGCAUGAUUGAUGCAUACGGCUGAAGAUGCGGAGAGGAUGAGCUUAAUCCAUGGGCGAUGGAAUUCCGUUCCGAAUGGGAUAAGAUCUAGGAAGAUGAUGCGGAUGCUGGGGAGAUUGGUUUUGCAUCGCGGAAGGAGUUGGGAAAGAUGCGGAUUGGCUCACGGAAAGCUGGAGACGUUGUGAAGAUACGAUGGGAAGAGGAUGAGGAUGGAUUGGUUCGAAAACAGAGGAAGAUGUGGACGCGGAGAAACAGGGGUUCCUUUGGUUCUAAUCUAGAUUCGGUUUGAGGAGGACUCGGAAGAGGAAAUGGACUGGGAGCGUGGAGUUGUUUGGAUACGGGAGAAUGAAGUCUGGGAAUCAACGUGGAGGUCAUCACGAUAUUGGUUGCUUGAUCCGAACGGGAGAAGAUCACGAACAGGAUGUGGGCUGCUUUGGAUAUAGGAUAGACUCGGAACAGGGGAGGUAAACAAUGACGUGGAAGAAGGAUUUAAGGAGGAAGAGGAUCACGGAGAAGAUGGGAUUGAGCUUAGAAGUUGAUCUCGGUUGGGAAAUAAUCCAGAAGAUGGCUGGGACGUAGGAGAUGGAAUGAAGGGGAUUUGCAUAAUGAUGUGGAAUGAAGAGGAGUUGAGCGAGAUCUCGGCUGGGCGUGGAAGAAGUUGGAUUUGGUGAAGGUUGGAUUUGGAAUGGGAUACGGGAAGAUAUGGCUCACGAACGGGAUGCACGGAGAUUCGUGAAAGGAAUUUGUUCGGGAUGAGCUCAAUACUGGAAAAGAAAUAAGGGAGUUGGGAUGAACGACCGAAUCAGAAUUUGAGAGGAUUUAAUUUGCGGGGUACAUAUGAUUUGGGUUCAGGGAUCAUCCCAAAUAAGUUUGACUUGACCUGCAUUCAUUAGGCUUAAUCAUUAAAUAAUUAAAUCAACUCGAAUUACCUCUGAUAAUUAUUAAAAUGUAAUGGUGAUGGUAACACAUAUUUUAUGGUUAAAUUUACGAAAUAUGCGAAUUAAAAGAAUGAUAAGUGCUAUGAAUAAAAAGAUUAAUUUAUGCAUUAUUUAGCACUUAUCACACCCCCCAACCUACAUUUUGCUAGUCCUCAAGCAAAAUAAAAACUAACUCACUUUCGCAGGAAUCGCGAUUGCAUUUACCGUAUGCAAUAAGGCUUUAAACCCCUAGGUGGCCCUAGUGGACGAGUUUUGUCUCGUGAGGGUUUCCGGCUC